UGGGGAAUUUUGGACAAUGGGCGCAAGCCUGAUCCAGCCAUGCCGCGUGCGGGAAGAAGGCCUUCGGGCUGUAAACCGCUUUUGUCAGGGAAGAAAUCUUCUGAGUUAAUACCUCGGGAGGAUGACGGUACCUGAAGAAUAAGCACCGGCUAACUACGUGCCAGCAGCCGCGGUAAUACGUAGGGGUGCAAGCGUUAAUCGGAAUUACUGGGCGUAAAGCGUGCGCAGGCGGUUUUGUAAGACAGAGGUGAAAUCCCCGGCUCAACCUGGGAACUGCCUUUGUGACUGCAAGGCUUGAGUGCGGCAGAGGGGGAUGGAAUUCCGCGUGUAGCAGUGAAAUGCGUAGAUAUGCGGAGGAACACCGAUGGCGAAGGCAAUCCCCUGGGCCUGCACUGACGCUCAUGCACGAAAGCGUGGGGAGCAAACAGGAUUAGAUACCCUGGUAGUCCACGCCCUAAACGAUGUCAACUGGUUGUUGGGAAGGUUCCUUCUCAGUAACGUAGCUAACGCGUGAAGUUGACCGCCUGGGGAGUACGGCCGCAAGGUUG
rnacentral:rRNA from 1 species